GAACCUUACCAGGGUUUGACAUGCAAGUGGUAGGAAUCCGAAAGGUGACCGACCCUUCGGGGAGCUUGCACAGGUGCUGCAUGGCUGUCGUCAGCUCGUGUCGUGAGAUGUUCGGUUAAGUCCGCUAACGAGCGCAACCCUCGUCGUGUGUUAUACGUGUCACACGAUGCUGCCGGUAUCAAGCCGGAGGAAGGUGGGAUGAUGUCAAGUCAGCAUGGCCUUUAUAUCCUGGGCUACACACACGCUACAAUGGCAGAUACAAUAGGUUGCGAAACCGCGAGGUGGAGCCAAUCCUCAAAGUCUGUCUCAGUUCAGAUUGUAGGCUGCAACUCGCCUGCAUGAAGUUGGAGUUGCUAGUAAACGCAGGUCAGCUAUACUGCGUUGAAUACGUUCCCGGGGUUU
rnacentral:rRNA from 1 species